CUGCAUGAGUUGCAUCCUGCUGUAAAUAUGGACAAAAAAUAUACUUGAUGGAAUUUAGGUGAGCAUUAUGUGAGUCGUAGAUGCUAAUAUAGGACCAUCACACAUAC
rnacentral:snoRNA from 1 species